AUGUUAUGUAACCAUUUUCUGCCUCAGUUUUCUCAUCUGUAAAAUGGGAAUAAUGAUAUCACCUAUUUCUCAGGAAGGAAAAUGAUUUUGAGGAUAAAAUGAGAUAGUAUUUGUAAAGCAAUUUACUAUUCUUAAAGCUAUUAUUAUAUUUACAGAGAAGGAAACAAACUCAAGGAAGGGAAGUGACUUUCCCAAAGUCACACAGGUAAGUAAAUUGGCUAAACCAGAAUUCCAGCUCAGAUCUCUUGACCUUCAAGAGUUCUCAUUCCCUUGUGUUACAUAGAGAGUCUCAGCCACAGUAUGAAUUAGAUUUGCUUUUCUUUCAGUCUAUUCUCUAAAUCUUAGUGUCUGAUUCCUACAGACUUUUAGCUAAUAUCUGCAGUAUCUUGAAUCUCAUUGUGUUAUAACAAGAAACCACAAGGUCGCCCUACAUCAUGGGUGUGCAUCCUGUGGCCUCGGGGCCACAUGUGGCCCUCUAGGUCCUCAAGUGUGGCCCUUUGAGGGAAUCUGUGAAGUUCGACCUCCAGGCCGAAGGUUCCCCACCCCUCCCUUAUAUUGUACUUUUCCUAGGGUGGGAUUUGGGUUGGGGUGAGGGUUCUCUUUUUUUAGGAGGGGGAGGUCUUUUGUGUUUUAACAUGGUAAGUUGGGAUGUUGCAACCACGGUUUCCUGACUGAUUCCCUCAAGCUGUGUAAUAAUAUUUAUAUACAAAUGCUGACUCUGUCUUUCCACCCAGGAAAACAUCAGAUGCUAUUGAAAAUCUUUUGUGUGUGUGUGUGUGUGUGUGUGUGUGUGACAGAAAACAGAGGGCUGGGGCUCACACAUGCCUGUCUCCUUAAGCUUCUCUGGAGAGUGUUCUUGGAGUAGAAAGUAAUUUUGAUUUGUGUUUUUCAGUGACAUCCCAAUGAUGCAUGCAGGCAAAUGAAGAAAUAUUUCAGAGCCCAAAGAGCCCAGUUCUGUCCAGAGGAGUCUCAGAAUCAUUGGUUAUUAUGGACUGGGAAAAGGAAUACAUUUUUGAGGGGGUUAGAUUCAACCUCCUCUCAGGCCAUCCACAUUUCAGAUACGGAGACAUAAAAGACUCGGCUGUAUUUCUAAACAAGCCCUUAGAAUUUCUAUGGGGACUCUGACAAGGCUGGCUGCUGCUGUUGCUGCUGAUGAAGAUUUCACAUCAAGUCCCAACACUGUGCUCCAGCCCUGGAUGCAGCUAGGGUGAGAGAAGCAUUUAUCCCACAAAUAUCCUUGUGAAAGAGCUUCCCAUUAUAACAGAAGCCUUCUAAUAGGGACCAGGAACCUAGAACAGAGGAAACUCCUAUGCUCACAUUUCCCUUAAAACUCUUUAUUUUUUCACUUACUCCCUCCCUGCAAAUCUAUCCCAGCCCAGUUGAAUGACCUUCAUUAUAGUUUUGUCGACUGUUACUACAGAAUCUUUAGGGAAGGUUCCCCACCCCUGUCUUAGGAGAAUUCUUUGUUUCUAGGGGAAGCUUUGGUGCGAAGACAAGCCCCAAGUCCUCCUCUUAAGUUAUCAUUUUCCUCCAACUUAAAAAAAAAAUUCCCUCAAGCCAACAAGCCAGGAUUUGGAAGUAACCACUUGGUUACUCAGCCUUAGCCCAUACCUACUUGACCAAUAUAACUUCCUAU
rnacentral:lncRNA from 1 species